GUCAGUUUGUCCGAGUGGUUAAGGAGUGUGACUAGAAAUCACAUAGGCUCUGCCUGCGUAGGUUCAAAUCCUGCAGCUGACG
rfam:Absidia repens strain NRRL 1336 BCR42scaffold_59, whole genome shotgun sequence.